rnacentral:rRNA from 1 species
AAUCAACGCUGGCGGCGUGCCUAACACAUGCAAGUCGAACGCGACUGGGGCUUCGGCCUCAGUUGAGUGGCGAACGGGUGAGUAACACGUGGGUGACCUACCUUCGAAUGGGGGAUAACGUCCCGAAAGGGACGCUAAUACCGCAUAACAUCCUGCCUUUGAACAGGCGGAGAUCAAAGCCGGGGAUCGCAAGACCUGGCGUUUGAAGAGGGGCCUGCGUCCGAUUAGCUAGNGGUGAGGUAACGGCUCACCAAGGCGACGAUCGGUAGCCGGCCUGAGGAGGGCGGACGGCCACACUGGGACUGAGACGACGGCCCAGACUCCUACGGGAGGCAGCAGUGGGGAAUGUUCGCAAUGGGCGCAAGCCUGACGACGCAACGCCGCGUGGAGGA